rnacentral:miRNA from 14 species
UGUGGAGUGAUGGUCAGAUGCAGCCAGCACAGUGGCUGGUUUGGCUGAACUGUCGUACUUCCCAUC